CCGUUGUAUCCAAUGGUUUGACUUCCUUACUGGGUACAUGGCGUGGCGUGGGAUCCUCGCGUGUCGCGACAACAGAUCCAUUCUCCCCGAGGGUAAUGACAACCUUGGCUGCGCCACGAUCUAACAACACUGGCAGAGCAUAAAAUGCGUCUUCAACACAGGAUAUAGGAACACCAGUUAAUAUCUCUGCCUAGAAAAUAACAAAUAUACUGGUCGUGAAUUACAG
rnacentral:lncRNA from 1 species